ACCCCAUGCCACCCCACCCCAUCUGUAUUCACCACUGCUGGAGGAACAUUUUACAUAAGUGAAACAUAAAAAAUGAAUGAAAGAUCUUUUUCUGCUAAGCCGCUGGGAGACUGGAUUUUCAUUUGCUGUAACAGCUUGCUUUACCUUCACUCAUAUAAUAUCCUACUCAAAAUCUGGGAAAAUUUAUGUCUUUGUCAAAAAUAUAAAAAUUAGCUCUGCAUGGUGGUAUGCACCUCUAGUCCCAACUACUUGGGAGGCUGAGGCAGAAGAAUCACUUCAACCCGGGAGGCAGAGGCUGCAGUGAGCCAAGAUAAGGCCACUGAACUCGAGCCUGGUGACAGAGCAAGACUCCAUCUCAAAAAAAAAAAAAAAAAAAAAAAUUGACCUCCAGUUUUAAUGCAAUUGCACUCAGAGUUCCAACAGAAAUUUUGUAGACAGAGAUAUGCUGAUUCUAUAAUUUAUACAGAAAGGCAAAAGGAGGGAGAGUAGUCAAAACAAUGUUGAAAAAGAAGAGCAGAAUUGGAGAACUCACACUAUGUUAUUUCAAGAAUUACUAUAAAUCUACAGUCACUGUAAAUCUUUAGUAACAUGUUUGUGUCUACAGGAAAGACAUAUACACCAAUGGUAAAGAAUAAACGAUACAGAAACAGACCCAUACAAACAUGCCCAGUGGAUUUUUCAGGAAUGCACAAAGACAAUUCAACGGAUCAAGGAUAGCAUUUUCAGCAUAUGAUGUUGGAAUCAUCAAACAUUCCUAUGCAAAAAAAUUAAAACUGAACCUCUGCCAAAACCUUAUGCCUUAAACAAAAAUGAAUUUAAAGUGGUUUAUACUCUAAAUAUAAAACAAAACAUCUAGAAGCCAACAUAGGAGAAACUUUCAAGACCUGAUGUUAGGCACACAGUUCUUAGAUAUGAUAUGAAAAGCACAGUCUACAGAAGAAAAAUAAUCAACAGAUUGGAUUUUAUCAAACAGAAACAUUUUUUCUCUAAGAUGUCAUAAAAGAAUGAAAAGAUUACCUGUACAAUAGGAGAAAAUAUUUCCAAACUGCAUAUUCAAUGAAGAGCUCAUAUUCAGAAUAUAUUAAAAAAGAAAAACUAAAAUCUCAAUACUAAGUGUAUUAGUCUGUUCUCAGACUGCUAUUAAGGUACUACCCGAGACUGGGUUAUUUAUGAAGGAAAG
rnacentral:lncRNA from 1 species